ensembl:misc_RNA Metazoa_SRP Metazoan signal recognition particle RNA
GCUGGGCAUGGUGGCGCGUGCCUGUAAUCCCAGCUACUCAGGAGGCUGAGGCAGGAGAAAUGCCUGAACCCAGGAACCCAGGAGGUGGAGGUUGCAGUGAGCCGAGAUCACGCCACUGCACUCCAGCCUGGGUAACAAAGCGAAACUCCGUCUCAA